AGAGCACCGGACGACAACAGCAGCAGCAACAACGCGGCAGCCGCCACCAUGGCCCUGCAGGCUGAUUUUGACAGGGCUGCAGAAGAUGUGAGGAAGCUGAAAGCAAGACCAGAUGAUGGAGAACUGAAAGAACUCUAUGGGCUUUACAAACAAGCAAUAGUUGGAGACAUUAAUAUUGGAUGUGACACGUGGCAGCAGGAUGGCACUGGGGCACACAGUUCAACUCAAGAUAUCUAUUGAAAUCGAGGCUCCUACCCAGAUAUCUUUAGUGGAUGAAGCAUCAGGAGAGGUUUUUAUUUCAGGGCAAUAAUGGAACUAUCUUGUACACAGGGGACUUCAGAUUGGUGCAAGGAGAAGCUGCUAGAAUGGAGCUUUUGCACUCCGGGGGCAGACAUCCAAAGUGUAUAUUUAGAUACUAUGUUGUGUGAUCCAAGAUUUUACCAAAUUCCAAGUCAGGAGGAGUGUUUAUGUGGAGUCUUAGAGCUGGUUCAAAGCUGGAUCACUCAGAGCCUGUACCAUGUUGUGUGGCUGAACUGCAAAGCGGCUUAUGGCUAUGAAUAUUUGUUCACCAACCUUAGUGAAGAAUUAGGAGUCCAGAUUCAUGUCAAUAAGCUAGACAUGUUUAGGAACAUGCCUGAGAUCCUUCAUCAUCUCACAACAGACCGCAACACUCAGAUCCAUGCAUGGUGGCACCCCAAGGUACAUGUGUGAGUGGCUCGAGACCUCCAAAAGUUUCCCACCAGAGACCUAGGCUGCGUGUUGCUCUGGUAGGUUGAUGAGCUUUGGCUGGGACACCCCACGGCAGUCGGGUGCACCAAGGGAACGGAUUGCCCUACGCCCACACCUGGAGGACUGUGGGUAUAAGGUGUCCAAGAAAAAAGCUCAGAUCUGCUGACAGCAGGUAUGUUCCUUGGGAUAUACUAUCUGACAGGGGGAAUGCAGCCUCGUAUCAGAAACAAAGCAGGUCAUUUGCCAUCUAGCAGAGCCUAAGAGCAGA